CGGCUCGCUCCUCCGCCUCCUCCCCCUUCGGCGGGCACCGCUAGUACCGCGCAACCAAACCGCCCCCUGCACGGCCGCCUCCUCCUCCUGGCCGCUCCGCCCACAGUCAGCAAGCAACUACAAAGGCUAACUUUCGAAUAUGGGGUGCCACAAUUUAUAAGAACCCUGAACCCUUGAGUCUCCACUUGAAGAAGAGCCUCCCUGACCUACAUACAAAGUGAUACCAUGAGCACUUUCAGGAGAAACCAGAGAAUGUCCGAGGAAUACCAGUAAUCCAGUUGGAUGGAAAAAAAAAAAAAAUCAUCAGAGGAACAGCAACAAUCAAAGCUGGAAAGGUACUUGGGCCUGUAUUGCGGAGAAGUUUGCACUAAUUUGGGCAAUAGUGGCACAAGGGAUCGGCAAACUAUGGCCUUCAGGCAGAAUCUGCUGUCUAUUUGGGGGCCACAAGUUAAGAGUGGUUUUUACAGAUCUGAUGAUAGGGAAUGCCAACUUUAAGCCCCAAUGUCAUAGGUGAAAUAUUAUCCUAUGGGAAAGAAUUCCAUUCUUCUCAUUAGUAGUCUGUUAUGAUAAAAUAUUCAAUUAUUAUUAUAUUUUGACCUCAAUAAAAAUUUGUGA